rnacentral:rRNA from 1 species
UACAGAGGGGGCGAGCGUUGUUCGGAAUUACUGGGCGUAAAGGGCGCGUAGGCGGCCAACUAAGUCAGACGUGAAAUCCCUCGGCUCAACCGGGGAACUGCGUCUGAUACUGGAUGGCUUGAAUUCGGGAGAGGGAUGCGGAAUUCCAGGUGUAGCGGUGAAAUGCGUAGAUAUGCGGAGGAACACCGAUGGCGAAGGCAAUCCCCUGGGCCUGCACUGACGCUCAUGCACGAAAGCGUGGGGAGCAAACAGG